rnacentral:rRNA from 1 species
CUACGGGUGGCAGCAGUGGGGAAUAUUGGACAAUGGGCGAAAGCCUGAUCCAGCCAUGCCGCGUGUGUGAAGAAGGCCUUCGGGUUGUAAAGCACUUUCAGUGGGGAAGAAAGCCUUGGGGCUAAUACCCUCGAGGAAGGACAUCGCCCACAGAAGAAGCACCGGCUAACUCCGUGCCAGCAGCCGCGGUAAUACGGAGGGUGCGAGCGUUAAUCGGAAUUACUGGGCGUAAAGCGCGCGUAGGCGGUCUGAUAAGCCGGUUGUGAAAGCCCCGGGCUCAACCUGGGAACGGCAUCCGGAACUGUCAGGCUAGAGUGCAGGAGAGGAAGGUAGAAUUCCCGGUGUAGCGGUGAAAUGCGUAGAGAUCGGGAGGAAUACCAGUGGCGAAGGCGGCCUUCUGGACUGACACUGACGCUGAGGUGCGAAAGCGUGGGUAGCAAACAGGAUUAGAUACCCCUGUAGUC